rnacentral:rRNA from 1 species
AGCAGCCGCGGUAAUUCCAGCUCCAAUAGCGUAUAUUAAAGUUGUUGCAGUUAAAAAGCUCGUAGUUGAACUUCGGGGUUUACUCAUUGGUCAGGCUUAAUUGUCUGUACUGGUAAGAUGAAUCUCUACCUUCUGAGGAACUUUCAUGCCAUUUAUUUGGUGUGAUUGGAAAUCAGGACUAUUACUUUGAAAAAAUUAGAGUGUUUAAAGCAGGCUAACGUCUGAAUACAUUAGCAUGGAAUAAUGAAAUAGGACGGACUGAUUCUAUUUCGUUGGUUUCUAGGAUCACCGUAAUGAUUAAUAGGGAUAGUUGGGGGCAUUAGUAUUCAAUUGUCAGAGGUGAAAUUCUUGGAUUUAUUGAAGACUAACUACUGCGAAAGCAUUUGCCAAGGAUGUUUUCAUUAAUCAAGAACGAAAGUUAGGGGAUCGAAGACGAUCAGAUACCGUCGUAGUCUUAACCAUAAACUAUGCCGACUAGGGAUCGGAUGAUGUUAAUUUUUUAAUGACUCAUUCGGCGCCUUACG